CAGUAGCCACGGGAAUACGUAGGUGGCAAGCGUUGUCCGGAAUUAUUGGGCGUAAAGGGCUCGCAGGCGGUUUCUUAAGUCUGAUGUGAAAGCCCCCGGCUCAACCGGGGAGGGUCAUUGGAAACUGGGAAACUUGAGUGCAGAAGAGGAGAGUGGAAUUCCACGUGUAGCGGUAAAAUGCGUAGAGAUGUGGAGGAACACCAGUGGCGAAGGCGACUCUCUGGUCUGUAACUGACGCUGAGGAGCGAAAGCGUGGGGAGCGAACAGGAUUAGAUACCCCCGUAGUCCCUGUCUCUUAUAC
rnacentral:rRNA from 1 species